UCCAUUUCUUAAUCAAGUAAUGUGACUAUUUUUCAGGGGAAGCCACAACUUGAUGUCAGCUGUGCAUCUCCAUCAUGGACUGGGUCAUCGCUCUGUGAUCAUGGUGGGGGCUGGUGCAGAGGGAGGGGAACAACUCUUGGAGGAAGUGGAUGAAGGCCUCAUUGAAGAAGAGGAUGAGUUGGGUGUAGCUGAGUUGAGUGAGGAUGUACUGCUACAAGAUGAUGAGGAAGAAGAGGAAGAUGGUGAAGAUAGAAGCUGGCGACGAUAGCAGUCGUGAUCAGUCUGUAUGUCUCGAAAUUCACGGCCCAGAGGGCUUGCUUGCAGUGUAAUUAUUCGAGUGUAAUGCACAGUGUGUAGGAACAUGUGCGUUAGUAUGUAUAUACAUAUUUUGUAACUUUUAUAAAUAUUAGAUAUUUCCUUUGGUUCCAAAUGUGAAUUUCAAUUAUUUUAACCCUUCCCAAGCAAUUUUUCUUGUGUCUGUAAGUGGAAUAUUUUUUUCUGUAAACUAAAUUUUAUUAUGCGUGGAAGUCUUCAGAGUAACUAAAACUAUAAUAUAAGUUUUGAAACUGAAACUGAGUUUCACCAUAUGUUAGCUCCAUUUACCAACUAAAGACUGUCCUGUAACUUGAUGCAAAGUUUUUAAUGUAAAUUUCUAAUUGGAUAAAUGACGCACGUCUCACUGAAUUUGUUGCGCUUCUUUAUGAGCCAUCACAGUUAUUUCGGGUUUCACGCACAUGGAAACAUGUUUUGCGAUUAUAACGUCAGUGACGUUUUCCAUUGCCAGCACUAACUCUGGAAAACAACUUCUGUGUGAUACAUUACAAAGUACUUGGUCUGGGUUUGAAAAUGGCUUUUUCUGCAUGUCUUUGCUCUGUGAAUGGAGAGUACUGAGCUAGAGUUUCGGGCAUAUCUUUUGUAGAUGGUAUUGCUUUUUUCUGUUACGUUAUUGGUACCUAUUAACUUGUGCUCUAGGUUUUGGCUGUGUGUAAUACUUGUUGGUGUAGACAAAUUAUCCAGAAGAUGGGUUGGUAGUGUCUUUCAUGAGAACAGUGCACAGCUGUUAUUGCUUGCAUAGUUCUCAACAUCAGGGUUCUCAUGUACUGUUUUAACAGUAUAUGUAUCUGUUAGAUACCACAGACAUUCUUAGCCCAAAGUUAUAAGAUUAUAAGUUUUAGAGGAUGCUGUCCUUUCAUUUACUGUUAAAUAGAAGUGGGAAAGUAAUUAACCCUUCAGUGACAGCAACCAUUUAUGUGGUGUUCAACCCUGUGGACAGAGGAAAUUUAACCCGAUGUACCUGGUUUGUGCCAAGGUCAGAGGCUAUCGUCAUGUGACGAGCAGGUUCAUAUCGUGCGCAGAGGGUUAAGGAUGCAUUUUGACCUGUUUUUGUGAAAUACAGGAUUUAUUGAUCUUGUUCCUCAGUGUGUGCAAAAUGUUUGUUCCAAAAUAAACUGAAAUUUAUCUGUGACAAGACAUCUGAAAAUAAUUGCAUUUUGUUUACCUUUGUUUGAGAGAAGUAAUCAGCAUGGGAUGUAGGACCACGGCUUCAACUCCAGACACUGCCUUGAGGGUUGAAGAUGCUCUCUCAGUAGGGGAACAUAUUUCAUACUUUCGUCUUGUUGCCAUUCAGUAUGGUUUCCUGUAGAUUGAGGUCCAACAAAUUCAAGUGAAAGACAAAAUUAAAAUAUUUAGCAGGCUCAUUUGUCCAAUAAAAAAUUGAUGGUACAGCUGCAUCUUUUUCAAUAUUUUGCAUUUUGGUACUUUUGCUUGGUUCAAGCCACUUACUUACCAUUGUGUAUGGUUUUUCUGUCUGUUGUGCUGUUCUAGCUCUGCGUAGCACUGGCAUCACUUAUCUCAUAAUAACUGUCAGUGGAAUGAAAGUCUAAAAUUAUUUAAUGGUAAUAUCUGAAACAGACACUAUUUCUUCAUCGUGCACUGUCCCCCUUUCAAUGUUUGAUAUGCAAAAAGAUUGAAAAAAACAACCACUAAACAAAUUGUCUAAGUGACUUGGCACAUACGUGAAGAACUGUCUCCCACACUCGCAUAUACCUAAAUCCUGUCAUUUGAAUCUGUAGUAUCACAGAUGUCACCAACAUUUGCCUUGACAUCUUUUAAUGUCAUGGCAGAGACAGCAGUAAAUACAGACUUUGUAUAAACUUUGGGUAUGUCCAUAUUCUGCAUAUGAAGUACUGGUUGACCUCAGAUGUAUCUGGUUUUCACUUGGGAAGGGUUAACGUUAAUUUGAUUCUGUUCAUACAACUAAAUGCAUUUCUAUUGGCAUAGACUAUAUGACAAACAUUGUAAUUUUGAGUGAGAACAAAACUUCUGUAACAAAACUGCUUUCAUGUACUGCAAGAAAAUUGUAAUGUUGUCAUUACUAGUAUAGUUUUAAUGGUUUUGUUUUAAAGUCAGUGGCGUAACUUUGGCACGUCAAUCACCAGUGAAAUAAAUGCUCUGACUUUCAAACAUUGGAAUUUCAUUUUCCAUACUAAUAAAUGUAUGUGCACUGAUUAAUGUACAACAUUGACAAUGUCUUUGUGUUAUAUUAAGUCAUAGAUAAUUGUACUUGAUUUUAUUGUAACAUAUAUUUGUGAUUUGUUUUCUUCAAUGAAAUGUUCAGUAAUUGAUGUAAAAAUACUUCAUGCAAAAAUGUGCUUUGUAUAAUGGUUAAAGAUGAAAAGAUUGAAAAGAUAAUAGCUGAUAAAUGAAAAGUUGAAAAAGAAAAGAAGGAACACUAAAGAUUAAAAUGUUAUGAAAAAUUACAAAAAAGAGAGUGAAAAAAGAAACAGAAAACAUUAACCAAUUAAAGCACUGAAGUUUUUGUACAAUAAUAAAAGAAGUGGGAGCAAAUACUAAAAUGAAACAAAGAAAAGAUCAAAACAAAAAAAUUAUCACUUGCCCCACCAACAAAACAAUUGUUUCUUAAAAGAGCAAGAUUUUCUGCAAAAGACAUUUUAUGCUAUGUGGUAAAUAAGAUUGUGUGCCUUUCAGACAA